rnacentral:lncRNA from 1 species
CGCCAUUCUCCUGCCUCAGCCUCCUGAGUAGCUGGGACUACAGGCGUCCGCCACCAAACCCGGCUAAUUUCUUUUGUAUUUUUAGUAGAGACGGGGUUUCACCAUGUUACCUAGGAUGGUCUCGAUCUCCUGACCUCAUGAUCCGCCCGCCUUGGCCUCCCAAAGUGCUGGGAUUACAGGCGUGAGCCACCGUGCCCGGCCAAUAAGGGAGAAUUUCUGGAGCAUCUGUAAAUUCUCUACUUUAAGCUGCUUCAAAUAGAAAGCAGCCCUGCUUUUUGUGUUUCUACAAAAGACUGGGCAGAAACCUGCCUGUCCUUCAGGGUCCCAAAUGAGCAGUGUAUGAAGUUCCAGUUUCUUCACAUCUUUGACAACAAUUUCCUAUUAUAUGGCUGGACAGUGGUAACUUAUUGUGGUUUUAAUUUGCAUUUCCCUAAUGUCUAAUGAUGUUGAGCAUCUUUUCAUAUGCUUAUUUGUCAUCUGUAUAGCUUCUUUGGUGAAGCAACAGCUCAAAUAGUUUGCCCAUUUUUUAUUGGAGGUUUGUUUUCUUAUGUAGUUGUAAGAGUUCUUUAUAUAUUCUGAGUACAAGUUCUUUAUGAGAUGUAUCCUUUGAAAUGUUCUUUCCUGGUUGAUGACUUGUCUUUUCAUUAUCUUAACAGUAUAUUUUGAAGAGCAGAAGUUUUUAAUUUUUCUGAAGUUGAAUUUCUUUCUUUCUUUCUUUCUUUUUUUUGAGACAGAGUCUUGCAAUGUCACCCAGGCCGGAGUGCAAUGGCGUGAUCUCGUCUCACUGCAACCUCCACCUCCCGGGAUCAAGCGAUUCUCCUGCCUCAGCCUCCCAAGCAGCUGGGAUUACAGGCGCCCGCCACCAUGCCCGGCUAAUUUUUUGUAUUUUAGUAGAGACGGGGUUUCACUAUGUUGCCCAGGCUGGUCUCAAACACCUGCCCUCGUGAUCCGCCCGCGUCGGCCUCCCAAAGUGCUGGGAUUACAGGUGUGAGUCACUGUGCCCGGCCUCUUUUUCUUUUUGUUUGAGACUGAGUCUCACUCUGUCAUCCAGGCUGGAGUGCAGUGGGACCAUCACAGAUCACUGCAGCCUCAAGCUCCCCGGCUCAAGCGAGCCUUCCACCUCAGUCUCCAGAGUAGCUGAGACUAUAGGCAUGUGCCAUCAUGUCCAGCCAGUUUUUAAAUUUUUUGUAUAGACAGGGUCUUUCUAUGUUGCCAGGGCUGGUCUGGAACUCCUGGGCUCAAGUGAUCUUCCCGCCUCAGCCUCCCAAAGUGCUGUGAUUAGAGGCAUGAGUCACUGUGCCCAGUUUUAAUUUUCUUUUAUGGAUUUUGGUGCUAUACCUAGGAAAUCUUUACCUGACCUAGUAUCACAGACUUUAUUCUAUUUAUAAGAAAUGUUAUAGCUUUAGGUUUUAUGUUUCGGCUAUGAUCCAUUUUGAGUUAAUUUCUGCAUAUGAUAUGAGGUAUGGAUGGGAGUUCAUUGUUUUCCAUCUGGAUAUGCAAUUGUUCCAGCACCAUUUAUUGAAAAGACUAUCCUUGACCCACUGAAUUUUCUUCAUACAUUUGUUAAAAAUCAGUGUCCAUAAUAUGUGGGUGUUUUUCUCAGACUCUCUUGUCAUAGUCAGUUUGGGCUGCUAUGACAGAGCACCAUAAACUGGGUGGUUCAUAAACCACAAAAAUAUUUUUCUCAUAGUUCUGGAAGCUGGAAGUCCAAGAGAAGGUGCCAGCAUGGUAGGGUUCUCCUGAGGGCCCUCUCCAAGUUGUAGAUGGCUUACUUCUUGCUGUAUCUUCACAUAGCAGAGAACAGAGAGGGAAAGCAAGCUCUCUCAUGACUUUAUAAGUACACUAAUUCCAUUAAUGAGGUCUCCAUCCAUACGACCUCAUCUAAACCUAAUCACCUCUCAAAGGUCCCACCUCCUGAUACCAUCAUAUUGGGCAGUAGGGUUUCAACAUAUACAUUUUGAAUAGGACACAAACAUUCAGUCCAUACCACUCAAUUCUAUUGUUUUGUUCUAUUUUUCUAUCUUCACACCAAUAAUACACAGUCUUGAAUACUGUAUAAGUCUUUAUAAGUCUUUAAAUCAGGUAGUAUUUGCCUUCCAAAUUUGUUCUUUUUUUUUCCAAAAUUGUUUUGGUUAUUGCAGUACUUUACAUUUCCACAUAAAUUUUAUAAUCAAUUUGCAAAUUCCAAAAAAAGUCUGCUGGGAUUUUGAUUUGAAUUGCUUUGAAUAUGUAGAACAAAUUGGAAAUAAUUGACAUCAUAACAAUAUUUAGUUUUCUGGAUCAGAACAAAGUAUGACUCUCCAUUUAUUAAGUUAUUCUUUCACUUCUUUCAACAAUGUUUUAUAGUGUUCAGUGUGUAGGCUUUUCACAUCUUAUGUCAGAUUUAUCUCUAUGUAUUUAAUGUUUUUUAAUUAAAAAAUUUUUAUGAAUCAAGAAAGAGCUGGAGUAUUAUAUUUGUGACACUAUUGUAAAUGAUAUUUCAAAAUUUCAAUUUAUAAUUCUUUGUUACAGAUGUAUAACAAUACAAUAGAUUUUUGAAUGUUAAUCUUGUAUCUUGAGACCUUGCUAAAGUCAUUUAUUAGUUCUAAUAGUUUUUUGUUUUUUUUUUUUUGUUUUGGAGACAGGGUCUUGCUCUGUCCUGCAGGCUGGAGUACAGUGAUGCAAUCAUAGCUCAAUGUAACCUUGAACUCCUGGGCUCAAGCAAUCCUCCCACCUCAGUUUCCCAAGUAGCUGAAACUACAGGCAUGAAUCACUGUGCCUGGCUAAUUUUUUUUGUUUGUUUUUUAUUUUUGUAGAGACAGGGCCUCAUUAAAUUGCUCAAGCUGGUCUAGAACUCUUGGGCUCAAGCAAUCCUCCCACCUCAGCCUCCCAUAGUGUUGGGAUUAUAGGGUUGAGCCACCAUGCUCAGCCUAUAUCUAUUUUUUGUUUAUUAGUUCUAGUAGAUUUUGGGAGAUCCUGUCGACUUUCUACAUAGAUAAUUAUUUUAUUUGUAAAUAAAGACAUUUUUACUUCUUCUUUUCUAAUUUGUAUCUUCUUUUUAAAUUAUAUUGCCUAGAACCUCUAGUAUGAUGUUAAGCAGAGAUGAUGAGAAUGAUUAUCAAUAGUAGGUAGAAAGUACUUAGUCUUUUACCAUUAAGUAUGAUGUUAGCUGUAGGUUUUUCAUAAAGGCCAUUGUCAAGUUAAGGAAGUUCCCUUCUAAUCUUUCUCUGUAGAGAAGAUUUAUCAUCAAUGGAUGCUGGAUUUUGUUGAAUGAUUUUCCUGCAUCUAUUGAGAUGAUCAUAUGCUUUUUCUUUUUCAGCUUGUUAAUGUGAUAAAUUACAUUGAUUUUCAAAUGUUAAACCAAUUUUGCAUUCCUGGGUUAAACUGUAUUUGGCUAUGAUGUACUGUCCUUUUUAUAUAUUAUUGCAUUUAAUUUGCUAAAAAUAUUUUUAGAAUUUUUGCAACCAUAUUUAUGAGGGAUAUUUGUCUAUAGUUUUCUUAUAAUGUCUUUGUCUGGUUUUUGGUAUCAGGAUAAUACUGGCCUUAUAGAAUUAUUUGGGGGAAAAUUCUCUACUUUUCAAUUUUCUGGUAA